ensembl:lncRNA novel transcript
GUGCCUAGCCGGCCCCCACAAUCAGCACGGCUGCUCUGACGUAGAGGGCCACCUGGCAAGACACUGGGGGAAACCUCCAGCAAAGAGCCAGAAAGGAACUGAGGUCCUCCGUCCGACAGCCUGUGAAGAACUGCAGCCUGCCAAUAACCACGUGAGUUUAGAACUGGAUCCUACUCCAGUUAAGGCUUGAAAUGACUGUAGCUUCAGCCAACACCUGACUGCAGCCUCAUGAGAGACCCUAACGCAGAGGACCCUGCUGUGCAUAACUGGAAACUAUGGUUUCUUAGCAGGAUGGCUGUGACUCAGGAUCUCUCAUAAAAUUUAAGUCAAUCUAUUGGCUGAGGCUGCUGUCAUCUGAAGGCUUGACUGGGCUGGAGGAUCUACUUCCAAGAAGGUGCACUCCCAUGGCUAUUAGCUGGAGGCCUGCAUUCCUCAAAGGCUCUUGGCUAGAGGCCUCAGUUAAUUCCUGACCAUACGGGCCUCUCCACAGGGCUACCUGAGUAUCCUCAAGACAUGGCAACUGGCCUUCCCCAGAGACAGUGAUUCAAAAAUGAGAAAGAGAGGCUAAGAUGGAAGGCACAAUACUUUUUUAUAAAUUAGCCUUUAACAUCUUUCAGAGGUGGAACUUAAUUCCUCUCCCUUUAUGUGUGGGCUGGAUUUAGUGAGUUGAUUCUCAUAGACAGAAUAAAACAAAGCACAAGUGUUUAUUUUUUUUCUUGUACUUCCUGUAGUUUUACCUUUGUGAAUAUUGAUAUUGUGUUAUUCAGUGCUUCUAUCUGCACUGUUAAUUGCACUUUUUAACAAAAUUGAAAGCCCAUUUUGACUUAUUUAAUGCUUUGUCCUGUAUUCAACCUUGUCUGAUAUUAAAAUGACUAACUUGU